UUGCUUCAGGAUACAAAAUGACAGCAGUCGUCUUUAGUCCUAGCAAGAAUGUCAUGAAUGUGGAUGAGGUCCAAAGAAAGGGUUAUGCAAUAGCCAACACUCUCACACGGCUGGUGUUAAGAAGCCCUCAUAAUGCAGAGGAGACAUACCUCCAGAAUGUAGCUGGGGUUCCGAUGCGGGUGCUCUCAACCUUCUUUGAGCAGAAGUGGCUGGUUACUCGAGUAGAUGCCACGGCUGUUUGUCCAACACCAGAGGCAGUGACCUUUACUCCAGAAGUGAUCACCUGGUACAUGCCCAAGCACAGACCCACUUUUGUCCUCUGAUGCCUUCACCAUGUUGGAGGUGUACAUGGGAAUUGACGCUAAGAGGCAGGACACUGAGGAAAUGGCUGCCAGAAACUACUCGGUUUUAGUCACAGAGGCUCAUAUUAUUGUUGAAAUUCCAGUGGGGGCGGUUGGCGGCUACUUCAAGAGCCAUAUUCAGGAUGACCAGUACUUUGUCACUUACACCAUUGAGCCCAUGCUUGAGUUGCUGUGGAUCGAGGAGGUCGCACAUGAGGACACCAGCUAUAAAGUCCUCUUCCCUAUCACAACGCCUCCGAUGGCCAGGCCUCCACAAGUUCGCAACUGUGAGUCUGGUUUAGUUAAAUAGU